rnacentral:tRNA from 1 species
GGUCUAGUAGCUCAGUUGUAUAGAGCGUCCCUCUCCUAAAGGGAAGGUCACGGGUUAGAAUCCCGUCUGGACUA